AACAGGGAUUGCCCUAGUAACGGCGAGUGAAGCGGCAACAGCUCAAAUUUGAAAUCUGGCUCUCGGGCCCGAGUUGUAAUUUGUAGAGGAUGCUUUUGAUGCGGUGCCUUCCGAGUUCCCUGGAACGGGACGCCAUAGAGGGUGAGAGCCCCGUCUGGUUGGAUGCCAAAUCUCUGUAAAGCUCCUUCGACGAGUCGAGUAGUUUGGGAAUGCUGCUCUAAAUGGGAGGUAUAUGUCUUCUAAAGCUAAAUACCGGCCAGAGACCGAUAGCGCACAAGUAGAGUGAUCGAAAGAUGAAAAGCACUUUGAAAAGAGAGUUAAAAAGUACGUGAAAUUGUUGAAAGGGAAGCGUUUAUGACCAGACUUGGGCUUGGUUAAUCAUCUGGGGUUCUCCCCAGUGCACUUUUCCAGUCCAGGCCAGCAUCAGUUUUCGCCGGGGGAUAAAGGCUUCGGGAAUGUGGCUCUCUCCGGGGAGUGUUAUAGCCCGUUGCGUAAUACCCUGGCGGGGACUGAGGUUCGCGCAUCUGCAAGGAUGCUGGCGUAAUGGUCAUCAACGACCCGUCUUGAAACACGGACCAAGGAGUCGUCUUCGUAUGCGAGUGUUCGGGUGUCAAACCCCUACGCGUAAUGAAAGUGAACGCAGGUGAGAGCUUCGGCGCAUCAUCGACCGAUCCUGAUGUUCUCGGAUGGAUUUGAGUAAGAGCAUACGGGGCCGGACCCGAAAGAAGGUGAACUAUGCCUGUGUAGGGUGAAGCCAGAGGAAACUCUGGUGGAGGCUCGCAGCGGUUCUGACGUGCAAAUCGAUCGUCAAACAUGGGCAUGGGGGCGAAAGACUAAUCGAACCUUCUAGUAGCUGGUUUCCGCCGAAGUUUCCCUCAGGAUAGCAGUGUUGAACUCAGUUUUAUGAGGUAAAGCGAAUGAUUAGGGACUCGGGGGCGCUAUUUAGCCUUCAUCCAUUCUCAAACUUUAAAUAUGUAAGAAGCUCUUGUUGCUUAAUUGAACGUGAGCAUUCGAAUGUAUCAACACUAGUGGGCCAUUUUUGGUAAGCAGAACUGGCGAUGCGGGAUGAACCGAACGCGAGGUUAAGGUGCCAGAGUAGACGCUCAUCAGACACCACAAAAGGUGUUAGUACAUCUUGACAGCAGGACGGUGGCCAUGGAAGUCGGAAUCCGCUAAGGACUGUGUAACAACUCACCUGCCGAAUGUACUAGCCCUGAAAAUGGAUGGCGCUCAAGCGUCUCACCCAUACCUCGCCCUCAGGGUAGAAACGAAGCCCUGAGGAGUAGGCGGACGUGGA
rnacentral:rRNA from 1 species